UCGAUGGUCUGGAGGAGCUGCGCGUUGGAAUCCUGAGCCAUCUGGUCCUCGACCUGCUCGAUGUGGAAUUUUAUGCCACUGUGCGCAUCGUCAAGCUGGGGACGAAAGUUAGUCCAGAGCAAGAACAUCAGGAUGUUAGUUCUUGAUAUGUUUCAUGCAUCUUCUGCUCUCGUGAAGUAGUGGAUGGCGUGACUUACCUCCACACCGUACGCCAUCAAGAUGAUGAAAACGAACUUGGCAAUGCCAUAAAUCUUAGAAUACACGGCUACAAUACGGUCACGCCUUUCUCUGGCCUGCUGCAGCAGUUCACUAUCUUCGGAAGAGUCAGGGCGCAUAGCAAGCGGCUGGACACGUUUUGGUUCCUGUAUCAUGCUGCUGGAAGGAUGGAAGUUGUUGUAUGGUUUGUAUGAUUUGGGAAGACAAGAAUGAAGGGAUUAUAACGAGAUUGGAAGUCAGUGUUGGCGAUAUCGCAUGUCAAACCCGUUGUUUAGAUAUCUGGUAUACUCUUCGGUGUGUACUUGGUGUUUGUGUUCAGCCAGUUAAGGGAUGAGGC
rnacentral:sRNA from 1 species